GCCCCCAUCGUCUAGAGGCCUAGGAUAUAUGGUUCUCAGCCAUAGGACAGGGGUUCGACUCCCCUUGGGGGUACCA
rnacentral:tRNA from 1 species